ACCUAAUUUCUACCCCUGUAGCACCUAAUCCCUACAUAGACCUUGGAGCUAGGAGAUAUCAGACCGCUUCAUCACCAAAAACGGGGCAAAACCCCCUGCUUCCCUUUUCUUGCUUCUUCAUUCAUCAUCUUCGAUGGAAGGAGACCUUCUCCUAUGAACAUAAUCGGCACACCCCUCUCCAUUGCUCAACAAGAACGACCAGAUUUCCACACCCAAGCUCACACGCGAAAUACACAAGCAUAUUAGGAAGCUCGAAUCCGAAAAAAAUGGUUUCAAACAAAAAUCAAAAGGAAUCUGGAAUUUGAGGUUCGAAUUUAUUGACUUGCUGUUGCUGAGUUUUCCGUUGAAGCUGUGCUGCUGAGCUCCGUCGAGUUUGUGUCUGCCUUCAUUUGGCUUGUUCGAGCUUCGCUCUAUUCGAUCGGAUCCUGGAGCUGCUGAUGCUGUGUAUGGCGGGAGCUGGUAUUUAAGAUGUACAUGAAUUCCAAUUAUAGCUGCCACGUGUCCUUGGUAGCUUUAAAUUUGCAGUAUGUAUAUUUCGAACAGAUAAUGUAUUUAUUACGUACUAGCUUUUUAAAUUCUAAGUCUAAGAAGCUCACUACCAAUCCUGGGAGAUUGUAUAGAAACUCAGUUAUUUUACUCAUUUACUUUUAGUACUGUC